CGGGGCGUAGCUCAAGUUAGAGCAGUAUGCCUGGUGCAUAAUGUAUGAUGGUUCAAUCCCAUCCGCCCCGA
rnacentral:tRNA from 1 species